CCCUUAGAUGUUCUGGGCCGCACGCGCGCUACACUGACGAUGGCAACGAGUUUUUCCUUCGCCGAAAGGUGUGGGUAAUCUUUUGAAACAUCGUCGUGCUGGGGAUAGAUCAUUGCAAUUUUUGAUCUUGAACGAGGAAUUCCUAGUAAGCGCGAGUCAUCAGCUCGCGUUGAUUACGUCCCUGCCCUUUGUGCACACCGCCCGUCGCUACUACCGAUUGAAUGGUUUAGUGAGGACUCCUGAUUGGCGCCGCCGCCCCGGCAACGGAGCAGCGGACUGCCGAAAAGUUGUUCAAACUUGAUCAUUUAGAGGAAGUAAAAGUCGUAACA
rnacentral:rRNA from 1 species